AGUGAACGCUGGCGGCGUGCCUAAUACAUGCAAGUCGAACGGAGUGGCGCACGGGUGAGUAAUGAAUAGCUAAUAUGACCUACACUAGAGGACAACAGUUGGAAACGACUGCUAAUAAUCUAUAGUGUAGGUUGAGGCUAUAUUGUAUCAGCUAGUUGGUGAGGUAAUGGCUCACCAAGGCUAUGACGCAUAACUGGUCUGAGUGGAUGAGCAGUCAAACUGGAACUGAGACACGGUCCAGGCUCAUACGGGAUGCAGCGGUAGGGAAUAUUGCUAAAUGGGGGAGACCCUGAAACGGCUACGCCGCGGGGAGGAUGAUACUUUUCGGAGCGUAAACUACUUUUGUUAGGGAAGCGGUACCUAACGAAUAAGCACCGGCUAACUCCGUGCCAGCAGCGGCGGUAAUAC
rnacentral:rRNA from 1 species